CCAUGGACUAGGCAACAGAAGACUCAUUAACUUCUCCCUGUCAGGCCUUCAAGCAGUUGGACUGAAGAAGGGGAUGUUCUUCUACCCUGAUCCCUACCUGAAACUCUCCAUCCAGCCAGGAAAACACAGCAUCUUCCCUUCUCUGCCACAUCACGGUCAGGAGAAACGCUCUGGAGUCGUGUGCAACACAGUCAACCCUCAGUGGAGCACAGAGAGGUUUAGUUUUGUGUCCCUGCCUACUGACGUCCUGGAAAUAGAGGUGAAGGACAAGUUUGCAAAGAGUCGGCCA